AUUGAACGCUGGCGGCAUGCUUUACACAUGCAAGUCGAACGGUAACAGGCCGCAAGGUGCUGACGAGUGGCGAACGGGUGAGUAAUGCAUCGGAACGUGCCCAGUCGUGGGGGAUAACGCAGCGAAAGCUGCGCUAAUACCGCAUACGAUCUAUGGAUGAAAGCGGGGGACCGUAAGGCCUCGCGCGAUUGGAGCGGCCGAUGUCAGAUUAGGUAGUUGGUGAGGUAAAGGCUCACCAAGCCGACGAUCUGUAGCUGGCCUGAGAGGACGACCAGCCACACUGGGACUGAGAAACGGCCCAGACUCCUACGGGAGGCAGCAGUGGGGAAUUUUGGACAAUGGGGGCAACCCUGAUCCAGCAAUGCCGCGUGCAGGAAGAAGGCCUUCGGGUUGUAAACUGCUUUUGUACGGAACGAAACGGCUCUGGUUAAUACCUGGGGCUAAUGACGGUACCGUAAGAAUAAGCACCGGCUAACUACGUGCCAGCCGCCGCUGUAACAC
rnacentral:rRNA from 1 species